UCCUCCAAUCAGCUCGAAGGGGCGGGCUCUGACAGUAUUCCAGACAAAAUGGCGGAUGUUGUUGUUUUGCCGCAGGGUCAGUGCUAAUCGGAGUUCGCCUUUUCACUGAUUUACUGUAAGAAAAUACAUACAUAAUAUCGUUGGCGACAACCUUCAUCAUUGUAAGGGUUUGCGAGGUGGACUGUAAUGAAAGGCAAAGAAAGGUCGCCGAUUAAAAAGCGCUCUCGGGUUUUGGAUGAUAUCCGAGACAGGGGAGGAGGCCAUCCGCCCAGCAAGAAAAUGGGGGCUAUCUCCGUUUCCAGUGGGAGCAAUAAUGGAAAUAGCUCGACUAAAAGUGACGCAGGAUCUACAAGAAGGAGUUUGUUGGGCGAAAAGAGAGACAGGGAUUUUGACGGGCAUGUUUCCAGUCGAUCCGGCGUGAGUAACCAUAGUUAUCCCGGUGCUGUUGCUAGCGCUAUCGGUAAGAACCACAACUUGGGCUUGCCUCUCGAUUUAGCCACUGCAAGGACUAGUAAUUCUCGUGGCGAGCGUGCUCUGCCUCCCCCCAACAACAACGAAAGUGAGUACAAAACUCUUAAAAUCAGUGAAUUGGGAACUCAGUUGAGCGAUGAAGACAUCGAAGACGGACUUUUCCACGAAUUCAAAAAAUUUGGGGACGUGAGUGUCAAAAUAAGCCGCAGCAACGACGAGAGAAUCGCGUUUGUCAACUUCAGAAAGCCCGAGGAUGCCAGAGCAGCUAAACACGCCCGGGGUAGGUUAGUACUUUAUGACCGUCCUCUGAAAAUCGACGCAGUGUACAUAAACAGACGGAGAAGUCGCUCUCCAGUUGAGAGAGUUGACAGAGACCCUUAUGUUGGAGCCCCAGGGCACAGACACCUUCACACCCAGAGACCCCUCUCCCCAUCAGGGCUUGGAUACAGAGACUACAGACUACAGCAGCUGGCACUUGGGCGCCUCCCUCCUCCCCCACUUCCCCCUUUGCCCAGAGACCUAGAACGGGAGAGGGAGUUUGCCCUGUUUGAAGCCAGGUCACGCCCAGGUCCUGCUUUCAUUGCAGAGAGAGCUGCUGCUUUCCGCGAGGAGGAUUUUAUCUCUCCCGAGGAUGACCAAAGAGCUAACAGAACGCUGUUUCUGGGCAACUUGGACAUUACAGUCACAGAGACGGACCUGAGGAGGGCGUUUGACAGGUUUGGGGUGAUAACAGAGGUGGAUAUUAAGCCCACACGAGGACAGACCAGCACAUACGGAUUUCUGAAGUUUGAGAACCUAGACAUGGCCCACCGCGCCAAACUCACCAUGUCUGGGAAGAUAGUGGGCCGUAACCCCAUAAAGAUUGGCUAUGGUAAGGCCACCCCUACCACACGCCUAUGGGUGGGUGGGCUCGGACCCUGGGUCCCCCUAGCAGCAUUGGCCAGAGAGUUUGACCGCUUUGGUACAAUAAGGACCAUUGACUACAGAAAGGGGGACACCUGGGCUUACAUACAGUACGAGAGCCUUGACGCUGCUCAGGCUGCGUGCACUCACAUGCGUGGCUUCCCUCUGGGGGGGCCCGAGAGGAGACUCAGGGUGGACUUUGCAGACACAGAGCACCACUACCAGCAGCAGUUCCUUCAGCCUCUUCCUCUACCCCCCUUCGACAUGGUGGCAGAGGCUUUCAUCCACCGAGCCACAGCUGAGCCCCUGAGGGACAGAGAAAGGACUCCACCGCCGCUCCACUUCAGAGAGAGAGAUCUGGGCUUCCCCGGGGCUGAGUGGCCCCCUAACCCGGCUAUGCGUGAACGAGUACGUCCCGGGGUCUUUGAGCUGCCAGAUCACCUGCAGCGGGACCGGCGGCCGGGGGGGAGGGAGCCCUGGUCUCUGGAGCGUGAGCUGGUGGGGCGCGGCGGUGACCCGGGACGGAAACGACGCCUCAUGGACGACGGUCGCCAUCUUGAUGUCUCUCCUGAUAGCACUGACCGCACGGCACGCCGGCGCAGAGGUGGCCCAUCCCCAGACGGUAGCCCCGACGGAGGCCGCUUCAGUGACUCAGAGCGCCCCCCUCGCGGCGACGACAGACCCUCCCCUGGACGCGACCGCCGCCCCAGUCUGGAGCGUCCUGGCGGAGGAGACAGGAGAUUGAAGAACCAGGGGAAUCUCGCUGAGAGAGGGGCCUCCAGCAGUGGCCUCACAUCUUCAACAGGGGAACGGAAACGUAAAGCCGGCGACAGCAGCAGCAGAGGACCUGGAGCUAAGAGGGAUCGCUCCUCAGACCAGGGCGGCUCUAAAGGCAGUCAGUCAUCCAAGCUGAGCCUGGCCUGGCACGGCAUGCUCCUCCUGAAGAACAGCAACUUCCCCGCCAACAUGCACCUCCUGGAGGGUCACCAGGGCGUGGCCAAGGACCUCCUCGUCGACGGCCCCACGGGGAGACAGGUGGGCGAACUCAAGAUCACCCAGCGUCUCCGCCUCGACCAGCCCAAGCUGGACGAGGUCUCCAGACGCAUCAAAGCGGCCGGCCCCGGUGGCUACGCUGUCCUCCUGGCGGUUCCCGGUUCCGGUGGCGAGGAUGUGUCGUCGACGGACCCUGCAGCUUCCACCCAGCGUCCUCUCCGCAAUCUGGUGUCCUACCUGAAACAGAAGCAGGCAGCCGGAGUCAUCAGCCUGCCCGUUGGAGGCAGCCGGGAUAAGGACCACCAGGGUGUUCUCCAUGCGUUCCCUCCCUGUGAGUUCUCACAGCAGUUCAUUGAUGCCUCGGCUAAAGCUCUGGCCAAAACCGACGAGGACUAUCUGGUGAUGGUCGUGGUGCGAGGGCCAUCAUAACUACAAUCAGAGAGGAAGCAGGACAUCAGUGAUAUUGUACAAAAGAAAAAAAGAUGUCUGUAACUACUAUUGCAUGCUGUGUGUUGAGUUCAGCUCCAUGGGGUACUACUACUAGAGUAGGGGUAUGAUGGGGUACUACUAUAGAGUAGGGGUAUGAUGGGGUACUACUAGAUGGGGUACUACUAGAGUAGGGGUAUGAUGGGGGCGUAGGCUAUGUCACUAUUUGUUCCACUAAAAUAAAUAUGAAAUGCCCUCUUGAAAGUCAACAAAUGUGUAGGAAAAUUGUGCAACCCUGUUUUAUUAAAUAAGUGUGUGCUCAUUUCCAGACAGUAUUAUAAAAGGGGGACAUUCUAGAAAUACAAUCUAACUUGAAAUGAGGUAAAAUAGCACCCGUUUUCAAUUAGGAAAACUUGAAUCAACCGCUGUGUAUGAGAAGGCUCCAUUCCAACAUUUGGUCCACUGUUAGUGUUCCAUUGAUCGUAUUAUAUACAGAUCCUUCAGAAAGUAUUCACACCCCUUGAUUAAUUCCACAUUUUUCUUGUGUUACAGCCUGAAUUUAAAAUGGAUUUAAAAGAAGUUUGUCUCUCCCAUCUACACACAAUACCCAAUACACAAUACAAAGUGAAAACAUGUUUUUAGAAAUUUUGCCAAAUUUAAUUGAAAAUUAAAUACAGAAUGAUCUCAUUUACAUGAGUAUUCACACCCCGUAGUCAAUACUUUGUUUCUAAGUACCUUUAGCAGCAAUUACAGCUGUGAGUCUUUCUGGGGUCAGUCUCUAAGAACUUUCCACUCUGUUUAUUAUGCUUCCUUCUCUUCUCGCUGUCAGUUAGGUUAGUAACUACUACGUUGUUGAUCCACCCUCUGUCAUUAAAACAUCAUGUUAAACACUAUUAUUGCACACAGUGAGUCCAUGCAACUUAUUAUGUGACUUGUUAAGCACAUUUUUUACUCCUGGACGUAUUUAGGCUUGCCAUAACAAAGGGGUUGAAUACUUAUUUUUUCACGACAUUUCAGAUUUUCAUUUUUUUAUUAAUUUGUAAAAAAUAAAAAAAAUAAAAAAAGAUAAUUCCACUUUGCCGUUAUGUGGUAUUGUGUGUAGGCCAGUGACACAUCUCAAUGGAAUCCAUUUUAAAUUCAGGCUGUAACACAAGAAAAUGUGGGGAAAGUCAAGGGGUGUGAAUACUUUCUAGAAGGCUCUGUAGAUUAGGCUGCUUUAUGCUUCAUUACAAUCAUUUCAUGUCAUUUACAGUUAAUUAUAUAUUUUUCACCUCAAGGCCCUUUCUAAAAGUCCUGAAUUAUGAAGCCACAUGUCACAUUUUGAGAAAGAUACCACCAGAUCUGUUUGACGAGGAUAUAAAUCAUAUUUCCAUUUCUCACAAAAAAAAGUAUUUGGGGACAAUUAUGUUGGGAUAUGUCAUUACUUGACAACAUUGACUUCCUGUCUUUCUGUAAUACAUGAAAAUGGUUCAAACCUAGGAAUCGAAUGUCCCUAUGCACAGUAGGCUAUCUGUGGUUAGGUUAGCCCACACCUCUUAUGGUUAAGGAAUGGUUCAUGACACUACAAAAUGUGCCGAGACAAUGGGGUUUAGUUGCUGAGUGUAAACUCAACCUAACUUGUCUGUGGUGUGAAUAUAGUGUAUUCAAUUGGUUUCCAAAUGUGUUUUAAUGUUUAAGCUACUCACCAGUAAUACUUGGGCGUAUUGAGAGGCUGAAUGAGAAAUAUAGAGGUGAUUUUUGCCCAGCUAAUAUACUGUAGGAUGGGCCCAUCAAUGCAAUGACGCAACAAACACACAGCCCACUAAGAGAGAUGCUAAGGGUAGAUUUUAUUGUGUGCAUUUUCUUUAGCACCACCUGACCCUUGGUAGUAACUUGUGACCUAUAACCUUUGACCUAUAAUGUGUGGUAAAAUUACACUAGAGAUAAAAAACAAACUGAAGCUUUUGUUGUUGUUGACAUUUGUUGGUCCGGUUUCAUUCAAUUAAUAUACCAAUGUUUGUUGCCAAGUUUGUCUGAAUAUGACAGUAUUUUAUUGGUAAUCAUUGCUAACAAAUGAUUUACGUUAAUCCUAAUGAUCAAUCAGUUAAAAGGCUAUUCAACAUUUGGAGAAACUGAUCAUUUUAGGUUUUUUUUGUUGAAGAAAACUUAAAUUGUAAGUUUGAUAAGUUUUUAGUGCUAUUAUUUUUUAGUAUUUUUAAACCACAAUGUUUUCCCCUUUUGCGGCCAGCAGAAAACAGCUAGAUUUGUCAGACUUAAAAGCCUACUGUUGGUAACAUUUUAUGGCAGUUUUUUUUAAAACUGAUUUGUAGUUUUAGGAUGUUUUAAGAGGAGGUUGGUCUGGUUUAUCUGUUUGAAAAACUGUAUGAGAAAAAAAAAUCUGUAUUUGUCUCACCGCCUCAACUGUGGACUUCCUAUGGCUCAAACCUCACAGGAAACUCUGAAGAGAAGGAAACUACUUAGUAUUUGUGUGUUUUCACUGAGAAAGCAGCUUUUAAGUUGUCUUCUUUUGUGUCCUGUUUUAAAUGGAGUAAUAUGACCCUCUGGCUUUGUGCUGUGUACCUGGUUUCAUUGGGAACACAAGAAAAGGGGAAAUCCUCUUCCCACACUGCGCUUACUGCCAAGCUGUUUAACACACACAGAGACAAAGUGCAUUUAUGCACUUAUUUGUCCUCCGAAUAUCAAUAAAUGUUCAUUUGUUGGAAACUUG